GGUGAACGCUGGCGGUAGGCCUAACACAUGCAAGUCGAACGGCAGCACAGUAAGAGCUUGCUCUUACGGGUGGCGAGUGGCGGACGGGUGAGGAAUACAUCGGAAUCUACUUUUUCGUGGGGGAUAACGUAGGGAAACUUACGCUAAUACCGCAUACGACCUACGGGUGAAAGCAUGGGAUCUUCGGACCUUGCGCGAUUCAAUGAGCCGAUGUCGGAUUAGCUAGUUGGCGGGGUAAAGGCCCACCAAGGCGACGAUCCGUAGCUGGUCUGAGAGGAUGAUCAGCCACACUGGAACUGAGACACGGUCCAGACUCCUACGGGAGGCAGCAGUGGGGAAUAUUGGACAAUGGGCGCAAGCCUGAUCCAGCCAUACCGCGUGGGUGAAGAAGGCCUUCGGAUUGUAAAGCCCUUUUGUUGGGAAAGAAAAGCAGUAAGUUAAUACCCCGCUGUUCUGACGGUACCCAAAGAAUAAGCACCGGCUAACUUCGUG
rnacentral:rRNA from 1 species